CCUACGGGGGGCAGCAGUAGGGAAUCUUCCACAAUGGGCGAAAGCCUGAUGGAGCAACGCCGCGUGGGUGAAGAAGGUCUUCGGAUCGUAAAACACUGUUGUUGGAGAAGAAAGUGCGUGAGAGUAACUGUGCACGUUUCGACGUUAUCUGACCAGAAAGCCCCGGCUAACUACGUGCCAGCAGCCGCGGUAAUACGUAGGUGGCAAGCGUUAGCCGGAUUUAUUGGGCGUAAAGGGAACGCAGGCGGUCUUUUAAGUCUGAUGUGAAAUCCUUGGGCUUAACCGGAGUAGUGCAUGGGAUACUGGGAGACUUGAGUGCCGAAGAGGGGGGUGGAACUCCAGGUGUAGCGGUGAAAUGCGUAGAUAUAUGGAAGAAUACCAGUGGCGAAAGCGGCUCUCUGGUCUGUAACUGACGCUGAGGUGCGAAAGCGUGGGUAGCAAACAGGAUUAGAUACCCGAGUAGUC
rnacentral:rRNA from 1 species